rnacentral:rRNA from 1 species
GGGUCAAGUGAAUAAGAGCAUGUAGUGGAUGCUUGGCACUUC